AAGAGCCAGACCCUGUGGGACAGAGGAAGGAUGUUGUCAGAUCACACUUCAGAAAGGCUGUUCCAGUCGGGACUGAGUGGGUUGACCAGUCAAGGUUAAGUGCAGGGAGACCGCUUUUCUGAUCUGUAAAAUGGGGUAAUAUGCCAAUCUCAACAGAGGUGGAACAGAGGUGGAAGGCGAGAGCAGAAGCGGACACACUUUACAGCUUCCAGGUGUCUGUCGUUCGUUCCAGCCCAGGGCGCUGGCGGGCUGGAGGCGGGGCUUGCGGUAGCCCCGGAUGUGCGCAGGCGCAGUUCGGCUUUCUCCACCUGCCCGCCUCUGAUCCUGGGUGAGCGGUAGCCGUUUCCUGCUCGACGCGGUCUUCUGGCAGGAUGGGCAGCGUCAGAGAGCGAAGGAAGGAAUGAACCAACGGAAGGAACGCUUGGGGCCCAGGCCACAUUGGGAUACAGCAGUGACGGAGGAGGACUCUUUGUGGGGCGUCACGGGCAUCCAUGGUGUCUGUGGAAGCUUGCGGAGAGGAAAGGCCAUGUGAAGACACGGUGAGAAGGCAGCCAUUCCCCAAGCCAGGAGGAGAAUCCUCACCAGAAACCAAAUUUGCUGGCACCUUGAUUGUGGACUUCUAGCCUCUAGAAUUGUGAGAAAAUAAAUGUCUGUUGUUU